rnacentral:miRNA from 1 species
UAAAUACUUGGUAAGCGUCCCUUU